rnacentral:rRNA from 1 species
CGAGAUUCCCCCAGUAGCGGCGAGCGAACGGGGAGCAGCCCAGAGCCUGAAUCAGUGUGUGUGUUAGUGGAAGCGUCUGGAAAGGCGCGCGAUACAGGGUGACAGCCCCGUACACAAAAAUGCACAUACUGUGAGCUCGAUGAGUAGGGCGGGACACGUGGUAUCCUGUCUGAAUAUGGGGGGACCAUCCUCCAAGGCUAAAUACUCCUGACUGACCGAUAGUGAACCAGUACCGUGAGGGAAAGGCGAAAAGAA